rnacentral:rRNA from 1 species
UACGAAGGGGGCGAGCGUUGUUCGGAAUUACUGGGCGUAAAGCGCACGUAGGCGGACUCUUAAGUCGGGGGUGAAAUCCUGGAGCUCAACUCCAGAACUGCCUUCGAUACUGGGAGUCUUGAGUUCGGGAGAGGUGAGUGGAACUGCGAGUGUAGAGGUGAAAUUCGUAGAUAUUCGCAAGAACACCAGUGGCGAAGGCGGCUCACUGGCCCGGUACUGACGCUGAGGUGCGAAAGCGUGGGGAGCAAACAGG